AAAUAAAUACUAUGGUCCUGAGUUAUGUGUGUAUACUCAAAAUGGUUUGUGGUAUGAUUACAUAUGCAGCUCAAAGCAUUUCUUUCUCUGCUACAAUGAUUCAAACAAAAUUGGUGGAACAAACAUUUCACCUGACAGAUAUUUCUAUGUGAGAAAGUCACUGUCGUGGCACGAGGCUCAGGCGUACUGCAGGAAGCACCACACGGACUUGGCCAGUGUUCAGAGCGAAGAAGAGUAUGAAGUGGUUAAAACUAAAGUGCCUUUAGAGGAUAGGGUUGCAAUCGGCCUGCACAGAGAACUCUGGGAGAAUUGGUCAGAUGGCGUUCAACGCGAAUUCAGAAACUGGC